rnacentral:rRNA from 1 species
AGUGAACGCUGGCGGUAGGCCUAACACAUGCAAGUCGAACGGCAGCACAGUAAGAGCUUGCUCUUACGGGUGGCGAGUGGCGGACGGGUGAGGAAUACAUCGGAAUCUACUUUUUCGUGGGGGAUAACGUAGGGAAACUUACGCUAAUACCGCAUACGACCUACGGGUGAAAGCAGGGGAUCUUCGGACCUUGCGCGAUUGAAUGAGCCGAUGUCGGAUUAGCUAGUUGGCGGGGUAAAGGCCCACCAAGGCGACGAUCCGUAGCUGGUCUGAGAGGAUGAUCAGCAACCUUGAACCUGAGACACGGCCCAGCCUCUGAGGGAAGGCAGAGGUGGGGAAGAUUGGCAAUUGGGGGCAACCUUGACCAAGCCAUACGGGGUGGGUGAAGAAGCCCUCCGGGUGGUAAAGCCUUUUUGUGGGGAAAGAAAGCCAGCAGGUUAAUCCCCGGCUGUUUUGCGGGAACCCAAGGAAUAGGAACGGCCAAAUUUGUG